ensembl:lncRNA
GGGACCCCGGCUCCUGGCUGCCCCCUCCCCGCCGCCGAGCGCCCGGGCUUCGGGGAGGGUCGGGCCGGGAGGUGGGCAGCGAGAGGGCUGCGGAGGAGCUCUCCCGCCCCGGCUCCGUUUGCACAAGUGCAGGGAAUGUUCCACUGACCUACAUAUUUUUCCAAACAUACGUGACCUUUUUUUUUCUCUCUCUCUCUCUCGUUCUGUGGGAGGAGACAGGCGUGGAUCCAAGAAAAGGAGAAGCUGGAAAGAGAACGAAAGGGGAAGCAGGGGAAAAAAAAAAUAAUAAAACCUCAACCAAAAAACCCGGCCCUGAAUCAGGGAUGGCUUCACAGCGCCUCAAGCAAACCCGGCGUGCGGGCUACCGUACGGGACCGGAGCGGCAUCCCCGCGCCGCGCUGCCGGCUGCCCCUAUAUCCCCCAGACAGAGAUAAGGAGCGUGCCGGAGCUGGGUAGCACUCUCCCUCACUACCCAUCCCUAGGAGCUCGGCCGGGGGACACAGGAGCUGGGCAGGGGAGCACUUCCAAGCCCUGCUUCCCUCUUCCCCUUGCCACCAUACCCGGUGACUACGAUCCCCACCGCACACGGAUAUUAUCACAGGAAACUGUCACACUCUUCUGCUGAGCGCCUUCACACCGUUCUUUCUCCAGCGGGCAUGACUAAUGUUGAAAGGGUUACUGGUGUGUACUUGAAUUACGGCCACCGCCAACAGGUUGACUGAAGGCAAGGCAGGGUUUUCCCAGCACAUACCUGAGCCUGUUGUGAAACAACGACUUCUCCAAGUCCACGGACCUUCCUCCCAUCCAGCCGCCAAUGGAAAAUAACUGGAUGCUAUCGCUGCUGUGUUUGGUUUGGAAGCCAACCAAGGGACUCCGCUGGGUGCCACGUAUAAGAACAUUGGGGAAAGAGCCCAGUAUUCAGUUUUAAGAAUGAAAUCGUUUUAUAAUCACAAAAUACUGGUAAAUUGCUUCUCAGCCAUCAGGAGCCUGCAAUCUCAAGUCGCAAUCCCUUUGUUUCGACUAGAAUAGGCUGGCCAACCGUGGCAGCCCAG